rnacentral:rRNA from 3 species
UUAAUGCAUACGGUGAAUGCCUUGGUCGAAAGUACCGAAGAAGGACGUACUAGGCGUGCGAUACGCUCUGGGGAGCUGCCUUGAAGCUUUGAUCCAGAGAUCUCCUAAUGGGGUAACCCAUCCCGAUUUAAUCGGGAUAUCUACCGCUGAAUACAUAAGCGGAUGAGGGGUACGCGCUGAACUGAAAUAUCUAAGUAAGCGCAGGAAAAGAAAACAAACGUUUAUUCCCUAAGUAGUGACGAGCGAAAUGGGAGGAGCCUAAACUAUACAUCAGUCCGAUACGCAAGUAUUGGACCGUAUAGGGUUGUAGGGGUUUUCAUAAGUGAUCCAUCAAAAGUAGUAGAAAGGACUGGAAAGUCCUACCAAAGAGAGUGAAAGUCUCGUAUACGACGCUCGAAGUGGCACGAAAACUACCUGAGUAGCUCAGGACACGUGUAAUCCUGGGUGAAUCUAGCAAGACCACUUGUUAAGGCUAAAUAUACUUUCGGACCGAUAGUGAACUAGUACCGUGAGGGAAAGGUGAAAAGAAGUGCGAAACGCACAGUGAAAUAGAAACUGAAACCGUAUGUUGACAAGCUGUGGAAGUCCGCAAGGACGACCGCGUGCCUAUUGAAGAAUGAACCGGUGAGUUAUUGAUUACGACAAGACUAAGCCACUAUGUGGCGUAAUCGGAGUGAAAGCAAGCCCUAACUGGGCGAAAAUUUCAGCCGUAAUCAUUAGACCCGAAACCAGGUGAGCUAUCCAUGAGCAGGGUGAACUCCGCCGAAAGGUGCGAGGGAGGCCCGAACCCAUUAGCGUAGAAAUGCUUCGGGAUGACUUGUGGUUAGUGGUGAUAUGCCUAACGAACCUGGAGAUAGCUGGUUCUCCCCGAAAUAUAUUUAGGUAUAGCCCUGUGUAAUAACAUGGGGGGUAGAGCUCUGGAUGGAUGCUUCGGUCGCAAGAUCGGAAAUCCAAUCAAACUUCAAAUACCCAUGUUUUGUAGCAGGAGUCAGUCCGACCGGGCUAAGCCGGGCGGGCCUAAGGGAAACAUCCCAGACUGACAGCUAAGGUCCCUAAAUCGUACUUAAGUGUUAAAGGAGGUCAUGAUCCUUAGACAGCCAGGAAGUUGGCUUAGAAGCAGCCAUCUUUUAAAGAAAGCGUAACAGCUCGCUGGUCUACUAUGGGUUGUGGCGCCGACAAUGAAUCGGGGCUAAAGUACGUACCGAAGCUACAGAUUUGCCAUUAAUUUAUUAGUGGUAAGUGGUAGGGGAGCGUUCUAAUUGCUGUGAAGCUUGACCCGUGAGGGCAGGUGGAGCGAUUAGAAGUGAGAAUGCCGGUAUGAGUAACGAAAUUGAUGUGAGAAACAUUAACGCCGAAUGCCCAAGGUUUCCGAUCCAAUGUUAAUCAGGGUCGGGUAAGUCGGUCCUAAGGAGAGGCCAGAGUGGCGUAUCCGAUGGACAACAGGCUAAUAUUCCUGUACUAUUUUUAGUUUGACAAGUUCUUUGAUUUAUCAAAGAAGCCAUUAAGAGGGGACAAAGUAGGAAAAACUCAGCUAUUUAAAGUCAUCCUUAGCCGUAAGGCAACGGAUGACGACAGAUAGUUUAAGCAUGCAAGUUAGUAGAGAUCGGCAAGUCCGUUUCUACAAGUCAUUCAAGAGCAAUCUUGAAUGAUUGAAAAAUACAAGCUGCGAUGACGAAAGUGAGCGAUUUCUGUUUUCGGGAAAAUCCUCGUAAAGGAAAUUAGAAGUAUCCGUACUACAAACCAACACAGGUGGGCGAGUUGAGUAUACACAGGCGAUCGAGAGAACUAUCCUUAAGGAACUCGGCAACAAAAGCUGGACGUAAGUUAGCAAGAUGUCCUACCCUAAGGCCGCAAGGUUUUGGGGUUGCAACAAAAGACGCUGAGCGACUGUUUAUCAAAAACACAGGUCCCUGCUAAAGCGAAAGCUGAUGUAUAGGGGCUGACACCUGCCCAGUGCCAGUAAUUUAAAACUUCACUUGACCUCAGGUAGCAAUACUUGGGCGAGGAUGGGGUCUAAGAUCUGGUGAACGGCAGCAGUAACUAUAACUGUUCUAUGGUGGAUUCGCCGCCUUAGAAGAAAGUAUGUGUUUUUGAAAUCUGACUAUAUGCUGGAAUAACUCAGUAUGCAACAGUACUAAUUUUCAAAAUUAUGCUAAUAAUUUUAAAGAAAGUCACAAUCUGUUUGCUGGAGUCAAUCAGCAGGGAAGAAUCCUGAUCUACAUCAGGAGAACCCUCAGAGACUACAUGUCAGACUAAACUGAAUUUAACUUUUCAGUUUGGAAGAUAUAGUCCGAACUACGUAGCGAUACGUAGAGGUGGAAAUUAACUCAUCCACGAAAGAGUAAGCAAUUACUCUGUUAACACACAAUUAAAGGAAUUGAGCGAAGUUCCUUGUCUGGUGAGUUCAGACCCGCACGAAAGGUAGAACGACUUAGCGACUGUCUUGAGGAUAGACUCGGUGAAAUUGCAGUGGCUGUGAAGAUGCGGCCUUCCCAUACUUGGACAAAAAGACCCCGUGGAGCUUUACUGGAGCUUGGCCCUGAUUUGAAAGAUUAAUUGUGUAGCGUAGGAGGGAGAUUCGUCGACAAUGAAACACCUCUCUUUUAAUUUUUCAGAUCUAACCCUCUGCCUUAUAAAAACAGGCGAGGAGACAAGGUCUGGCGGACAGUUUAACUGGGGCGGUUUCCUCCAAAAGCGUAACGGAGGAGUGCAAAGGUACACUUUUCCCAUAAAGAAAUUGGGACAUAAGCGCAAAAGUAUAUAGUGUGCUUGACUGUGAGACAAACAGGUCGAACAGGUGCGAAAGCAGGCUUUAGUGAUCUCGUGUUUGAUCGUGGGAUCGGCACGGCUUAUCGGAUAAAAGCUACCCCGGGGAUAUGUUAUGUGUCCAGACUUCAUGGUAACAUGGAGUCAUUUAUACGGCUAAUAACGGUGGAAUCUAUAAUUCUUGGUUUAGGUCUUUACCAACAUCGAGAAGAGUUAUAGACAAUACCGUGGGAAGUCGGGAAGUGCCUUUAUGGUACAUCCUUGACCCCGUAUCGACUGAGCCCAUUAAAAGAGGAAACGAUAUUCCUCUUGGGCGAGAUGUGAGGUAAACUCUUGCAUCACAUGCCGUACUCCUGUAUUUAAAGUCGUCAAGACUUCGAAAACAGGAUGAAGAUAUAGUCAGCGCUAAUAGUGAUAUUAGAAUACAGUGAACAGGCUAGUGAAACCCAACAGUCCACAAGGACGGUUUCGUUCGGCACCUCGAUGUCGGCUCAACGUAUCCUGGGGGGGUAGUACCUCCCAAGGGUCGGGCUGUUCGCCCGUUAAAACGUUACGCGAGCUGGGUUCAGAGCGACGUGAGUCAGCUCGGACUCUAUCCAGUAUGGGCGCUUUGAUACUUGAAGGGAGUCGUCUCUAGUAAGAAAUUGCUACUUUCUGUAGAAAUGCAGAAUGACAAAUUGGCUAAUAACGGUGAAGCCCUCUUAAUUUUAGGUUUAGUUUGGUUCUAUACUAAACUUGAAGAAGGAGUGUUAAUGGGUAAUACCGUGGGAAGUCCGAUGCAAAUCGGACCCCGUAACGACUUGAUCCCGAUUAAAUCGGGACUAAUGGAAGGUGCCAGAUAAUCUGGAUUAAAACUUCCAUUAUAUGCCAGGUCCUGAUCCGCCAACUGGUGGAAGGACAAGAUAUAGUCUGAUUCUCCAGGAAACUGGAGUUAACAAAAUGACGAGAGGACCGAGAUGAGGCAACCUCUAGUGUGCCGGUUGUGUGUAAACAUGCAACGCCGGGUAGCUACGUUGUUAAUUGAUAAGUGCUGAAAGCAUCUAAGCACGAAACAAACCCUAAGAUGAGGUAUCUUUAAGACCCCUAGCAGACUACUAGGUUGAUAGGAAAGCGGUGUAAGCAUAGCAAUGUGUUUAGCCUACUUUUACUAAUGGUCGU